rnacentral:rRNA from 1 species
UACGUAGGUGGCAAGCGUUGUCCGGAUUUACUGGGCGUAAAGAGCGCGCAGGCGGUCGUUCAAGUCGCGUGUGAAAGCCCCCGGCUCAACUGGGGAGGGUCACGCGAUACUGAUCGACUGGAAGGCAGGAGAGGGUAGUGGAAUUCCCGGUGUAGUGGUGAAAUGCGUAGAUAUCGGGAGGAACACCAGCGGCGAAGGCGACUACCUGGCCUGUUCUUGACACUGAGGCGCGAAAGCUAGGGGAGCAAACGGG